rnacentral:rRNA from 1 species
CCUACGGGGGGCAGCAGUGGGGAAUAUUGGGCAAUGGGCGCAAGCCUGACCCAGCAACGCCGCGUGAAGGAAGAAGGCUUUCGGGUUGUAAACUUCUUUUCUCAGGGACGAAGCAAGUGACGGUACCUGAGGAAUAAGCCACGGCUAACUACGUGCCAGCAGCCGCGGUAAUACGUAGGUGGCAAGCGUUAUCCGGAUUUACUGGGCGUAAAGGGCGCGUAGGCGGGUAUGCAAGUUAGAUGUGAAAACCAUAGGCUCAACCUUGGGCCUGCAUUUGAAACUGUUUUACUUGAGUACUGGAGGGGCAGCCGGAAUUCCUAGUGUAGCGGUGGAAUGCGUAGAUAUUAGGAGGAACACCAGUGGCGAAGGCGGGCUGCUAGACAGUAACUGACGCUGAGGCGCGAAAGCGUGGGGAGCAAACAGGAUUAGAUACCCUGGUAGUC